rnacentral:rRNA from 1 species
ACUCCUACGGGAGGCAGCAGUGAGGAAUAUUGGUCAAUGGAGGGAACUCUGAACCAGCCAUCCCGCGUGUAGGAAGACGGCCUUAUGGGUUGUAAACUACUUUUAUACAGGAAGAAACGUACCCUCGUGAGGGUGCCUGACGGUACUGUAGGAAUAAGCACCGGCUAACUCCGUGCCAGCAGCCGCGGUAAUACGGAGGGGUGCGAGCGUUAUCCGGAUUUAUUGGGGUUUAAAGGGGUCCGUAGGCGGAUUAAUAAGUCAGUGGUGAAAUCCCAUCGCUUAACGAUGGAACUGCCAUUGAUACUGUUAGUCUUGAAUGAGGGUGCAGUGGUUGGAAUGUGUAGUGUAGCGGUGAAAUGGCAUAGAUAUUACACAGAACACCGAUUGCGAAGGCAGAUCACUAACCCUAAAUUGACGCUGAGGGACGAAAGCGUGGGGAGCGAACAGGAUUAGAUACCCUGGUAGGAUAGCG